CAGAACUCCCUCUCUCUCAGCCAUGCGAGGACGCAGCGAGAAGGUGGCUGUCUUCAGGCCAGGAAGGGAGCCCUCACCAACGACCGAAUCUGCUGUCACCUUGAUUCUGGACUUGCAGUCUCCAGAGCUGUGAGAAGUAGUUGUCUGUUGUCUCAGCCACCCAGACGCUGGGCGUUGCUAUUGCAGCCUGAGGUUUGGGACCCUCUCGCUGGACGAGAUUCCUGGGCUUGCGUUCAGUUCUCAACAAUGCAAUAUCUACCAGCUGAAUAUAUACUAUCCGUGAAGUAUGAAAACUGCGUGUAUGGUAUCUGGAGGAGUUUACAGAAAGAAAGUAAGACGUGUUGACGUGAUAAAUGCCAGAGGCAUGCUUUUAUCAGUAGGGUUUGUCUAGGAAGACAGUGAAUAGAAGUUGCGAAGACAGGUGAGCUACAGAUACCUGUGAGUCAAACCAGAACUUGAAGUGGGUUUAAAUAAACACUAAGAUGCAUGUCUGCAUGUGUGCUUUUGGAAAUUUAAGUUUACAAAUCCAGGGAAUAAUUGGAAACUUGUCUUUCUAAAAUCACAGAAUUGAAACAAAAAUAAUUAAAACAUCUGUGACCUAAAUUGUACUUAGUUUGGGUUCACCAUGUUGCACUAGACAUGAGUAUUUGAGAGAGGUUAGGAAAGGCAAUCAAAGACUGAGGGGUAGAUGUGUUCUACCCUGGGGGUCGGAGCAACCCUAAAUUCUCCCUUUUUCUCCUCUCUACCUAGCCGAGGUGGAAGGUGAGAGUGAAUGCCCUCCCCACGCCAGGGCCCGCUGGGGGCCUCGUUCCAGGCCCCAUUGGCCUGCGUGCAGGGUCUCUGCUCUGGCUGAACUCUUCUGCUGCAGUGGAAAUUCUUGUUUUUGAUCAUCCUUCUGUGAAGAUGGGACAACCGGUCAUACUCAUCACAACUUGCACUGUGCAUAUUUUAUGAUGACACAUGUCAUUCUUGACCUGGCUCUUCUACCGGAAGGAAGUUCCGAACUGCUGGAAUGAGCCUCUGUGGACCCUUCCAGCCCUCUGUGGGGGUCUUUUGCUAGACCCUCCUACUCUUCACAACGGCGUCCUAAACCAGAGAGGCCCUUGCCGCCCGCCGGACCAGUGUUGACAACAGCACUGAGGUUGCCUUUGUUCCCUGCAUUCCAGGCUCCAGCGGGAAGAUCCAGUUACGGUGUUUUGUUUUCUUUUGUUUUGAAUAACAGAACUCUGCAACGCACCUUUCUCGGCAUCUAUGGUUAUUCCAUUCUUUCUCUGGUUGUUUUUUUUUUUUUUUUUUGAGACGGAGUUUUUUUUGUUUGUUUUUUGAGAUGGAGUUUCGCUCUUGUUACCCAGGCUGGAGUGCAAUGAUGCGAUCUCGGCUCACCACAACCUCCGCCUCCUGGGUUCAGGCAAUUCUCCUGCCUUAGCCUCCUGAGUAGCUGGGAUUACAGGCAUGCGCCACCAUGCUCAGCUAAUUUUUUGUAUUUUUAGUAGAGACGGGGUUCCACCAUGUUGACCGGGAUGGUCUCGAUCUGUUGACCUCGUGAUCCACCCGCCUCGGCCUCCCAAAGUGCUGGGAUUAUAGGCUUGAGCCACAGUGCCUGGCCCUCUCUGGUUGUUUUUUUGUGCCUUCCCCAGUCUCCUCUGGGAAGAGUCUCCUCUUGGGCUUGUCUCUGUGGGCUCUUGAUGUCCCUCUGGCCUGGGUGUGAAGCAGCAUUGCCCAUGGCAAAGACCUGGUUGAACCAGGAAGCCGAGGGAUCAUCAGGAUACCAGAACUCUCUAGAGCAUUCUGCUUGCUCCCCCACACUCAGGCUUCCCAGAGAGCUCGCUGGAUGGGCAGCCCCUGCUGGAAUUCCUCCAGAGCCCCAAACAUUGACCGCAUGACAAAGCUGUGUUCUCCAUCGCUGGGCAGCUGGGCUGGUCCAACCGCCAUCUGCUCCCUGUGCCUUCUCCCUAUUCAUUCUGGGUCCACUUGCAGCUUCUCCUGGCAAAACAGAGAUCCAGGACAGCGACCAGCAGCCUCGGGGCCAGCGUACACUCAUGCCAGCAUCCCUUAUUGAUCCAGUUCCUAAGGACCCUCCCCUCCCUCAGACGAAGAGAGGUCAGCAAUACACCUAAUCCGAAAGGAGGUGGCGUAGAAGAAAAUAAAACUCCUGACCACGAAGGUCGAAUGGUGCUUACUCUACCUUUCAAACAAGCAAAGGGAAGUUCCUGUCAUUGAGUGACUGCUAGUUGUGUCAGUUACGAUCAGGCGCCCGGCUGCAUUCCUAACUCCUGGAAGAAAGACGAAGACACCUACCGAGACUUGACUCAUAUUGCCAAGUGGCUCAGCUGUGGGAUUCCCUGCCAGCCCUCUGCAAGCAGCAGUGUAGUUUUACUCAUGCCAGCAUUGAGUAGGAGCAUUUCAGAGUAGCUUCCAUUGGAUUCCAGAAAUUAUAUGACAUCAGCGUUUCACUUUCAUUUCCUUUACUGUUACUGAGAUGGAAUAUUUUUUGUUUUUCGUUGUUUAUUUUUUAUUUCUUCAGGUUUCCCUUUUCUUUGUUCGUUUUCUAGUAGGAUGUUGUAUAUUACUUGUCGAUAUAAAUAUUAGCCACCUAUUAUUAUAGAUAAUGUUUUCUCAAUGUGUCAUGUGUUUUCAAUUUUGUGUUUCACAUUUUAUGUCCAUGCAUUAUUAACUCCCAGGUGUGAGAAAUCAGUGGACCCUCUAAGUUCCCUUCCAUUGCUUUCAUACAGAGCUUGGUUAAACACCCAUUUAUGUCUUUCUAGCUCAUUAAAAUUCUUACUGUUCACACAUUUCUGUUAUUCUGAAAUUUGUUUUUGUGUAUUUCAGCCAGUAGUGUGAUAGUAAUUGUUUAAUAACUGUCUCUCUGGGGGGAUAAAAUCACACAACCUUGAUGUGUAACA